rnacentral:rRNA from 1 species
UACGUAGGGUGCAAGCGUUGUCCGGAAUUAUUGGGCGUAAAGAGCUCGUAGGCGGUCUGUCGCGUCGGAUGUGAAAAUCCAGGGCUCAACCCUGGACCUGCAUUCGAUACGGGCAGACUAGAGUUCGGUAGGGGAGACGUGGAAUUCCUGGUGUAGCGGUGAAAUGCGCAGAUAUCAGGAGGAACACCGGUGGCGAAGGCGGCUCACUGGGCCGGUCCUGACGCUCAGGCGCGAAAGCGUGGGGAGCGAUCCGG